rnacentral:tRNA from 1 species
UGGCACAUAGCUUAGUGGUUAAAGCAUUGGUCUCAUAAGCCAAAAAGCGCAAGUUCGAAUCUUGCUGUGCCAA